UACGAAGGGGGGCUAGCGUUGCUCGGAAUCACUGGGCGUAAAGGGUGCGUAGGCGGGUCUUUAAGUCAGGGGUGAAAUCCUAGAGCUCAACUCCAGAACUGCCUUUGAUACUGAGGAUCUUGAGUUCGGGAGAGGUGAGUGGAACUGCGAGUGUAGAGGUGAAAUUCGUAGAUAUUCGCAAGAACACCAGUGGCGAAGGCGGCUCACUGGCCCGAUACUGACGCUGAGGCACGAAAGCGUGGGGAGCAAACAGG
rnacentral:rRNA from 1 species